UGAUUUUGUUGUUUUGUUUG
rnacentral:miRNA from 1 species